CAAAACCAUCUUUCUUUGAAUACUAGUUAUAUAUUUUUUCAUGAGUAAGAUAAUGUGGAUAUAUCUGGCAACAUUUGCUGUAUAUAUGAGAAUAAAAUCAAUAUCUAAAUUGGUCUUUCUGAUACGAAAUGUAUGUUCACCUUUUAAAUAGUAGGAUCUUGAAUUUUAGGUGGCAUUAGGUAUUUUUAUUGUGCCUGUAUCACACAAUAGCGAAGUGCCUAUCUAGGCUUUGUAAAGUUUCAAACAUCGCUGUCAUGUCUUGGUGUGUCAUGCAUAUCAAUUUUGACAAUGUCUAAGCUUACGUCUCCAACUACGAUGUGGUUAGAGAUCACCCAUCAGGACUGAAGUUCAACAGGCAUGCUUGACUUGCAGCUUUUAGUGGGUUUUCCUAGGGCAGUUGUUUAGAUGUGAGAGUGCUGAAGCACACAAACGUUUUCACAUGGAAAUUCAGAAAUACCUCCCUGCUUUGUUCAAAUUGGUUAACGGCACAGUUAGCAUGCAUCAUUUGCUGAGGUAACAGUGUUACACUGCUUUGCAGGCAUUAUAGUGACAUCUGCCAUCCCAUACAAGUAUAAAAUAUUGCAUCAGUGCUAGGGAAAAUAAACUAGUCAUUAAGAAGUUGAGAGGAUCAACACCAUCUAAUCAGUGGAUUGGAUGGUGAUGACGAGAGGGGUAAAUAUGCUAAAUAGGACAUAUCAUGUUUAGGUGGGUCACAUUCUCUCCAUGACCCUUCAAUAUGUCUACAGGACAAUGAUGAUCAUUGUAACCUUAAAGUCCCUAUGGUCUCGAGGAUUACAAUAUUACUUUCCAUUACAGCUAAUGUCGCUAAAUUAUUUUAAGCAUUUUCGUAAUUGGUCCAAAUACUGCGAUCCCUAUGGCCAUGGCAAGAACAUGAUAUCACCAUCCGUCAAUGGAAUUCAUGGUGAUCGAGGUAAACGGGUCCGACCAAACAUGUCAUUGAAGUGCUUAUCUCCACUGUUCCUCCAUCUCUUUCUCAGCUAUUGAUUUCAUGCUCUAUUAAGUAGUUGCUGAUAAAUAACACCAUUGUAAUUAUUAUGAUGAUUAAAUCGAAUUAUAUUUUUCUUUUGUAAUAAGCUUUCGCAAAUGGAAAAGUUCGCCCCAACAGGAAGUCUAUUAGGCUAUGAGGAUAUUCAAAAAGCUGGGACGUCAGCUCUAUUUGCACUGCAUGCAUAAACUGCAUGUGUAUAGAGGUUCAGAUAAAUGCGCAUUUAGUCAUGUUUCUAUGCACACACAAAAAGGAAAGGAAAGGCAACGCAUGCCUACUUAAAUUCUUCAUAAUGACAGUAGAAACCAUGUAUUUCAGGCCAUUAGUCAUCAUCCCAUUCACUAAGGCCCUGUUUGGACAAUAAAUUCUCUGAUUGACACUGUUUUUCACCGGUUUAAGAGUGACUAACAUGAAAGCAAGGUUAUUUCUCUGACAUGACUAUUAGAGCAUCCAAAUGGGAUUAACUAGAGCAGGAAAACUGAAGUUCAAAAAAAAAAAACGAGAAGUAAAGAUUUAGAGCAUGAAAACCUUUUUUUUUUGUUGGGAAAAUAUUUGUGUGCCCGAGGGUGGACCAUAACAGUUUUGACCUGUCCCAUGUUGGGCCCGUUAGGGCUAUUUGUUUCCCCCCAAAUUUGGCACACAUCAUCUUGGUCUCGGUGGAUGACAACCUAAAAAGAAAGUUUGAAAGAUGGAAAGAAAAAUAGAAAAAUUGUGCUGUUUUGAGGAGAGAAAGAAUACUAUUAUUAAGCCAAAAUUUUGUAGAUUGCCUCAUCAUCGCUGGAUGAAUAAUUAAUAAAAACAUUCGUGUUCUGAUGAAUAGAUUCUGUCAUCUAUUAAGUGGAUUGUUCUGCUUGUCAAGUCUAAGAAAACCAUUUCCAAGUUAUUUUCUAAAUUCUUGUCUUGGGAAUCUUCUACAGUGUGAAAAAAGAAUGUUUGCUCCAAGUUUGGAGCAAAACAAUAACCUCCUAAAGCCCAAAAAAUGGGGGAGGGCAGACCAAUAUAGCCCUCCUCCUAAAGGUGGACGAAAUGUCUAUUUCUUUCUUCUCUUUUUUUUGGUUUCUGUUUCUUGGCUAUGUUUGAGCAUUUUACCCGUUGUAUGAAUGUGUUAAUAUUGUAGAUAAAAGAUGAGUUUCUAAAGAUUGUUGUUGAUUAUAGGGAA
rnacentral:lncRNA from 1 species